GAGUCUGUGAGGCAGAGUUUAAACCAGAGCACUGGUCCUAUCUGUUUGGCCACUGUGAUUGGUCAGGGUGUUCAUGUGACCUGAGCCACACCAACCAGAGUGAACCUCAAGAUUUUAGAAGAACUGUGAUUGUUUUCCCUCACCAGACUUUAACCAGAAUGGUGUAAGGUGUGGAACAGUUGAAGCCAUUUUGUUAUCACAUAGAGCCUCAGAACAAAACCAAUGCUUGGACAAGAGCCUAGGCGAGGAUCUGUAAUAACUGGGUCACGCUGUGCCUAAAGCUAGGAGAUCUCUGAGUCAUCCCAGCGAUAUGAGCCAGUAAGUUCCACUGGGCUUCAACAAGCCUUCCUCUACAACCCACUUACCAUCUGGGAUGAGAAUCAGAGUCUUUGACCUUAGAGGCCAUCAAGUCUGGCUCCCCUUCCAUUUUACUGAUGGGAAAACUGAGGUCUAAAGUGAUGGAAAAAUUAUCUACAAUCUCAAGAUUGUGGCCAUCAGGCCAAGAGCUAAAAGUGUGGGGAGGUUUCCGCCAUGCCUCGAUGUCUCUCCAGAUGAAUCUGCUCCGUGGACUCCCAAAGUUAUGGGAAGAGGAAGAAAAAGCAUGCAGAGGAUGUCGCAGUGGCUCCGGCCAGUUGUGCUGGCACUUGAGGAGGCGAGGCUAUGAGUUCAAGGCCAACCUGAGCAACAUAACAAGCUCUCAUUGAUUAACAAAAAAAAAAAAAAAAGAAAAGAAAAAGCAUGCAGGAGCACACUCCUAAAGUUUUUUAAGACCCUGACCUAAAAAGUUGCAUAUCUCACCUGUUGCUACAGACUGAAGGUGUCCCUCCAAAAUUCAUACACUCAAAUGAACCCUUAGGCCUCAACGUGAUGGUAUUUGGGGAUGGGUCUUUGAAAGGUAAUUAUGUCAUGAGACUGGAGCCCUCAUGGUGGAAUUAGUGCUCCUAUAAAAGACAUGAAUCCUACCCCCACUCCACCCCCAUCUAUCUGCCAGGUCUCCACCCCCAUCUAUCAGCCAAGGCCUUCUGCAAACAGAAAAUAGCUCCUCACCAGACACCAGAUCUACCUGGGCCUUGAUCUUGGACCUCCCAACCUCCAGACUGUGAGAAAUAAAUACGUGCUGUUUAAGUCAUCCAACCUAUGGUAUUUUUGUUAUAGCAUGCUGAACUCACCAAGACACCACCCUCCACCAUCCACUAAGUCACAUGGUUCAUCUACUUAGAAGGAAGGCUGGGAAAUGUAGUCUUUGAUGGGGCAACCAUGAGACUAGCUACAAUCCAAUUAUUUUGGAUGAAUGGGGGAGUGAAUUUUGGUAGACAACUAGGAGUGUCUAUCACAUAGGGUAGGUUCAUGAGUCCUUGUUGAACUCAGAGGGUGAGACAGUCAAUGUCUGUGGUUCCCAGAAGUUCUCAAGCCAUAUAGGUACAGAUCCACUGACCCCUGCACCUGGGAAGUUAGUUCUGUUCACUGUAACUGACAGAAAUAAUUCCCUGCUGACAUUAUUAGUGGCUCUCAGCCAAGACAAGAAAAUGAGGCUACACCCAUAAAGGUACUAUUACAACCCUUCAGCUGCCACGUUGAUGAUCUUAUGCUCCUCAUCACACGGAGUUAACACCCAGAGUAAUCACUCUUGGCAAGAUCUAAAACUUCACCCUUUGUGGAUGGUUUAAACAACUGAUUUCUUAGAGAAAUUCAAAAGCAAACUGUUUAUGCAAAGUACACAAUUCCUGGGGUCCUCAGACCCCCUAAGAAAUAUCCCACCACUCCUUUCCCUUGUAAGGGAUAAAAAGGAUUAGAAUCCAGGAAACUUGCUGUACUGGCCUGUUACAACCUUAAUCCAAGGGAGUGACACUAACAACAGGAUUUCAGUUAUGAUGUAAGAUGAGAGAUCGGAGACAGGGGUGUAUUUUGGCCUCCAUAGGGAGCCCAGAUGUCCC
ensembl:lncRNA